GCUUGCACCUUUCAAGCGAGUGGCGAACGGGUGAGUAACACGUGGAUAACCUGCCUCAAGGCUGGGGAUAACAUUUGGAAACAGAUGCUAAUACCGAAUAAAACUUAGUAUCGCAUGAUACAAAGUUGAAAGGCGCUACGGCGUCACCUAGAGAUGGGUCCGCGGUGCAUUAGUUAGUUGGUGGGGUAAAGGCCUACCAAGACAAUGAUGCAUAGCCGAGUUGAGAGACUGAUCGGCCACAUUGGGACUGAGACACGGCCCAAACUCCUACGGGAGGCUGCAGUAGGGAAUCUUCCACAAUGGGCGAAAGCCUGAUGGAGCAACGCCGCGUGUGUGAUGAAGGCUUUAGGGUCGUAAAGCACUGUUGUAUGGGAAGAAAUGCUAGAAUAGGGAAUGAUUCUAGUUCGACGGUACCAUACCAGAAAGGGACGGCUAAAUACGUGCCAGCAGCCGCGGUAAUACGUAUGUCCCGAGCGUUAUCCGGAUUUAUUGGGCGUAAAGCGAGCGCAGACGGUUGAUUAAGUCUGAUGUGAAAGCCCGGAGCUCAACUCCGGAAUGGCAUUGGAAACUGGUUAACUUGAGUGUUGUAGAGGUAAGUGGAACUCCAUGGGGAAAC
rnacentral:rRNA from 1 species